rnacentral:lncRNA from 1 species
GAAGCUUUGAUGGUGAAGCUUUGUAGAUGAAGCUUUGUAGAUGAAGCUUUCUAGGUGAAGCUUUGAUGGUGAAACUUUGUAGAUGAAGCUUUCUAGGUGAAGCUUUGAUGGUGAAGCUUUGUAGAUGAAGCUUUCUAGGUGAAGCUUUUUUAGGUGAAGCUUUGUAGGUGAAGCUUUUUUAAGUGAAGCUUUUCGGGUGAAGUUUUUUUUUUUUGUGAAGCUUUGUGGGUGAAGCUUUUUAGGUGAAGCUUUGUGGGUGAAGCUUUGGAGGUGAAGCUUUUCGGGUGAAGCUUUUUGGA